AAAAAAAAAAAAAAAGAAUUAAGGAAAUUGGAAUAGUUUUAAUUAUACCUCAUAUAUGUAAGUCUGCCUUAACCAUGAAUAUAUAACAAUUAUUGACUUAUUACAUUAAGAAAAUGGAUAUACAAAACUGAGAUGGGUUGAACUAACUGUAAUCUCAGCAUAGGUUGUGAAAGUGGAAUAUUCCUCAUCUUGCAACUGCAAAAUCCACAGUAGAAUGUUCACAAAAAAAAGUAAUUAGUACCAUUGAUUGGGGAUAAGGAAUUAAAAUAUUUACUGGUUUAGGAUUUCUGACUAAAAAAGUGAAAUUAAAAAAUGUAAGGUGCCAUGUUCACAUGAUUUGCUUGUUUAUUUUCAAGAUAUUAGAAGCUAGAUAUUACAGCUAAUUAAGAACUUAUGGACACAUGUAUUAAGUUAGAUUAAUUAUCCUUGUGAAAAUAACAUUAACUGCUUGUUGCUGUUUGACAUGAAUUCAAGUUUGCUGUCAUAGCUCAGCUAUUAUUACUUUUUGGUCAACCUAUCAACUAUCAAGUUGAUAUUUUCUGCUGUAUUAAUUGGUAUUACUUUGACUGAGAUAUAUAAUUCUUUGGAUGUGAACUUUAAAGACCAGAGAUUCUCCCAGUUGGGAUUUCAAUGCUUUGGAAUAGGGAUGUGAAAUCUGAAAGGACAUAUUAAAACCCGCUAAUGGUUCACAUCACAUGAUCAAAUAGGAGAACGUUUAGAUUUUGGGACUAAAAUAUGAGAAAUUGAGCUUGUAAUCAUUUAGAUAAUUCUUCUUAUAGCUUGCAUUCUACCAUAAAAUUGUACAUAUGUGUGCACACAGGUGUCGUAGCAUCAAAUGAAUCAUCAUUUUUAAGAUUUUUGGGAUAAAUGUCGGUCAAAGUUGGUGCUUAGAUUUGUGUACAAUUCUACCUAUUGUUUAUUGCAUUGAAUACCCUAGCACAAAAGUUUGAUAAGUUAGCGGUGGAUGGAGGGAGAAGAGAAAG
rnacentral:misc_RNA from 1 species